AUGAAGAAGAUUUAACUAGGCUAUGUUCAGACAGUGGGUCUUAAUGCACAAUUUGGUUUUUUGGGUGAAAUCUGAUUUUUUUUUGUGUGCUCGUUCAUAUUACACAUUAAUUGUGACUUCUAUCAAUUUUGAGAAUUAACUGAAUGCGAUCCUGAAGUGGCCCACAUG